AAUUGCUAUGCCAGCUUCGUCACCCUAGAUGUGUUUCUCUCAUAGGAUUCUGCAACCACCAAAAUGAGAAGAUUCUUGUAUACGAGUACAUGUCCAAUGGAUCUCUAGAUAAACACCUACAAGAUGGUGAACUAUCAUGGAAGAAGAGGCUAGAGAUAUGCAUAGGAGUAGCACGUGGACUACACUACCUUCACACUGGAGCCAAGCGUUCCAUCUUUCACUGUAUCCUCGGUCCUAGUACCAUCCUUUUGGAUGACCACAUGGAGCCAAAACUCGCUGGUUUCGGUGUUAGCGUGCAGGGAUCACGUUUUAUGCCAAAGCAGAAGCAAAUCAGUGUAGAUCGUGUUUUGGGUAAUUUUUGUUUUGUUGUAUAUGAGCUCACUCACUGCAAUGCAUUUUUGUGGAUCAAACUAAGCCAAUACUCUUUGUUGUAGGUACUUGGGGCUACACGACUACGGACUAUGUCAUGGAUGGUACCAUCACAGCUAAAUGGGAUGUUUUCUCAUUUGGUUUCCUUCUACUAGAAGUUGUGUGCAGGGGGAUGUUUUAUUUAAUAAGCCUUACUGAAAAAGAAUGUCUCGAGAACCCUGUUGAGGAGGGACUUGACCCGAUUAUCAAAGGAAAGAUUGCACCAGAUUGUUGGCAAGUGUUUGUAGAUAUGAUGGUAACUUGCUUGAAUUAUGAACCAGAUGAGCGACCAACAAUUGGUGAAGAGGAGGUGCAACUUGAGCAUGCUCUAUCCAUGCAGGAACAAGCUGAUAUCACAAACUCCAACUCUGAGUAUACCUUACUGUCCAAAACCAUUAUUUCCCUGGGAGUGAAACAAUUUGAUACUGAAAAAAUUCUCUGAAAUUGAGUUAGUGUUUUUAGUCAAAACAGUUAGAGUAAGCUGAAAUAUUAGUUUAGAACGUGUAGCUUUUGCUGUGAUACAUGCUUCCAGCAUUUUCUAUUUUUAUGUCAUAGAAUUCAAUAAUAUGUUAUAAUUAUUUAGAAUUGUUAAAUGUUGUAAUAUCGAACAUGGGUUGUCAAAAUAGGUUUUUCGUUUUAACAGAGGCUCUCAUCUAUAAUCGUGUAUUAGUAACUAAUUAGUAAUGAUAGAAACUCCUUGCUGAUUCAGGCUUUAAAUUGUUCUAUCUACUGUCUCUGUUUUAGCCUAGUUGGAAUUACUUGCCACCAACACUUUCCCCUUAUACUAACUUUUAAGUAUUAAAGUAAAUGCUUGAUCUUAAAAAAGGCAUCUGGUCGAACCAACAUUAUUUACAGCUGAUCUUUUCAAUUUCAAAAAUCUUGAGUGAAAUUUAAUAACUAUAUUAACAACAGAAAAGUCAGUUUGUAACAUGUCCCAGUAGCAUACAUCUUAAAAAUGUGUGACCAUUAAAUAAAGUACUUAAACACUUGUCUUUAGUUUUGAUUUUUUUAAUGGAUAAAAGGAUAUGUAUUUAAAAUAUUAACAGUCUUACCUUGGAAGUACCCCAAUUUGCUUAACUGUGAAAAUUGAAGGGAAGUAGAGGUGAAAGAUGCUUCAAGUAUGAACCUGAUAAAUGGACCAACUUUGAGUGAAUUAGAAGUGGAACUUCAGCAUGAUCUGUAGCAGGAACAAACUGAUAUCACAAACACCAAUGCUGAUGAUUAUAAACCCCCAAAAAAAAAACUUAUUUUUCAAAACCAUUAUUCACCCAAAACUGGGAAUUUGAGCAUGCUCUGCCAUUGCACCAACAGGAUUGUUAUCUUUGAGAUUUCCUAUUAUUUAUUUCUAACAUUUGGUACCUUCCUUUUGAUUGGUCCUUUUUGAUGAGAUUCUGUAUAUUCUCCUUACUGUUUUACAUCAGUUUUUCCUUGCUUAUAACACCACCAUUGUAUGAAUCUAUAUAGUAAGACAAAGUAUUAUAAUAUAAUUCUUUGAACCAAAAAAGUUAGCUAUGUGGAAAUAAACACUCACUCUAUUUAGGCUCAAUUUGAAUCCUCCCACUUUAUGAGAACUUCUAAGAUAAAUUAUUUUAGUUCUAGAAAAGUUUACUUAUAUAAGUUGAUUUUAACUUUGAUUUAGUUUACCUUCUUAAUUUAUUAAUUAAUUGUAUUCUUUUUUCCUAUAAAUAACUUUUGGGGUAUAAUCUUUAUCUGUCUUUUUUAUAAGAAAAAAGGAAGAAAAAAACUACCUGUAACACAAUGUUUCCACAAAGGCAUUGGGAAUUGGCUCAACAGCAAUCCAUUCCCCAUCUUUCCAAUUCUCAACCACAUGUUUGGUGGCUCUUCCACUAUUUGUGUAGAGCUUGCACCUUCCAUUUGGAUCCUUAGUGUCGUUUAUCUUUUCAUCCUAAGGCAUGCCAUGGAAUUCUUUUGAAAAUAUUCCGUGUAGCAUCCACUAUAUCCUUAGAAACUCUAUGGUUGAUAACCUAGCAAGUUUAUCACAGUUUCAGAUUAACCAAAUAUACAUACAAGCACACAAAAUCAAGGCCAAACAUCUAAGACUAUAUAAAAUGUGUAGUAUUUCUCAUAAGAAACAAUUUAUUGGCCACAGCAAGUUAUAUAUAUAUCAGACAACACCAAAGAUAUCCAUCACGUGUGUUCAACCAAUAUAGUGGCACAUAUGCUGUUAGGAACUAUAGUAACAGAAAAAUGCUAAAUGAUUACACACAUAUUUAUAGGUAGAUUGGAUGCCACUGCAAAAGAAAAAACAAACAAAUAUAACCAUUUGAAGUAAUAAAAAAUUGUAUUGCAUUAUAAAACAAAAUUUACAAGAGAGUCUUUAAAAUAAUAUAGUAUAAUAGAACCAUUGGAAGUGGAGAUUUCUGUCGUUGAUGGGAAGAAUAUGUAUAAUUAAAUCAGUUUUAACCGCUAUUCCUCUAUUCUCUUUAUCCUAUUUUAAAUCCUCGGAGUCGGUUUAGGCUUGGGGAAGGAUAGCAGGUAAAUGUCUUGGGUAAGUUGGGAGAAUAUGUGUAAACAGUGGAGGCAGACGGUUUGGGAGUUAAAGAUAUAAGAAAGUUCAAUGGAGUUGUUCUAACUAAAUGGAAGUGGCGAUUUGUAGGUGAAGAAAAAGGGUUGUGGAAGAAUAACCUAGUAUCUAAAUACGACCCCUUUUGAAAAAUCAAUCCAGGUGGUGGAGAGAUUUAUCUAAACUAUGUGACCAGGGGGAGGAGAAGGGUGGUUCUAAGAAGCUCUGGAAUGGAAAGUGAGUUGUGGAGACAAAGUUAGAUUCUGGGAGGAUGUUUGGGUGGGCGGAAAUAAACUUAGUUCUGUGUAUCCUAGGUUGUUCACCCUUGGAAAGGAUCAGGGGCUAACAGUGAGCGAGGUGGGCGUAUGGGAAGACUCGGCUUGGAUCUGGAAACUAAGAUGGAGGAGGGUUAGGUUUGAAUAGGAAGUUGUGCAAGAAGCGGAAAUGCUUUGGUCUUUGUCAGGGGGCACUCUGAAUAGGGAGGCAAAGGACACACACUAGUGUGGAGAGGGAAUGCAAUAGGAAGAGUUUUCUGUGAAGUAAGCUUAUGAACGUUUUUCUAACUCUUACAUAAGUCCUCCUAACGGGCUGUUCAAACAGUUGUGGCAAUCUAAAGCAAUGCUCAAAGUCUGGACAACUGCUUGGAGGGUUCUGUUAGAUAGAAUUCCAACUCGUUCCAGCUUAGUCAGGAGAGGAGUUUUGGUUAAUUCAACUAGUUGUGCUCUUUGCCAUGUUGUUCAACAUCUAUUUAUAGAGUGUCCCAUAGGACAAAUAGUGUGGUCUCUCUGCUUUAAGUGGGUAGGUAUCCUGUUCUUACAACAUAAGUUACUUCGAGAACUUCCCCUUAGAAGAGUUGAGUUCAAAGCAGAACUUGGUCUGGAAAAUUAUGUGGGGGACAAUGGUGAGACGACUAUGAGAACAAAGAAACUCUAUUAUUUUUAAGAAGGGUUCCUGAUGCGGAAGAAAUCUUUCAUAUGACACAGCUUAAUUCAUGGUUGUGGUUUGAAACAUAAGACUCGCUCUUUCAAUUAUUCUUUCUCGGAUUGGCCUAAAUCUGAUCCUAUCCAUCAAAAGUCAAAUGUAAAAGGAGGGGAAGCCUGUUUGGGAGUGCAGUCAGUCGGCUAAAUGAAGUUUGAGAUGGGAGGACAAGGCAGAGGAAGGAAUAGUAGAGAUAGUGCAGAUCAUCAAGCAGGGAGAUGUAGGACCUGCUCUUGCUCUGAGCAGUAUAGAAAGGUAUCUUGAUCAGGAGGACUUGGAAGAUGGCUUGCUGUGAGGUGCUCUAGUGAAGGCAAAGGUGUUGUACUUGCCAAAACCGUUUUCGGAGCUUUAUUGGAGGUGUAGCAGAGAGUGUAUGACAGCUGUAAGGAGAUACAGCAGCACCGUUUAUGCAGUAGAGGAAUUGUUGUAGACGCUUUGGAAAGGUCACCUUGUAGCUUCUUGGUGGUGCUGCAGGACAGAUUCUAGGGAGAGCGCUGUAAUGGUAUCUGUGCUAGUGCUAGAGGUAGUCAAAGAGAUGCAUUUAUAGAAGGAAGUGUGAAGAGCAAACAAUGUUUUAUAGGGUACUUGAAAAUGUGUGUUCUGGUAUAAUCUGCAUAUUUAUGCAAUGAGGCAUUGCUUGAAUAUGCUUGCGUCAUGCAGCAUGCUAGUCUUGUUCUUAUGGACGCUUGUGGUAUUCUUAAGUGCCUUGCUAAUGCGAAUCUUAGGUAGCAGCUGGUGCAGUUUUGUAUAUUUGGCAUUGUGGAUCCCUGAUUAUGGUGCUUAAGCCAAGGCUGAGGCUAUGUUGUUAACCUGUAAGGGCCAAGCCAGCAGGUUCUGUUCUGGUUUUUUGCUUUCUAUGCCUAUUUCUGUUUUAUGCAGCAAAAGGAACCUUGUGAGCACAUGGGAAGUAGUACAAAUAGCUAUGGCUAGAGAGGAGGUGGCUCAAGACUUCACCAGCAUAGACUGCGGAGCUCAAGCAGAUGUGAGAUAUACUGAAAUAUCCACAUACAUAGAUUCUUUUCAGAUGCAAAUUUGUUAACUGGUGUGAAGAUUCUUGGAAAAUUGGAAGUUCUUAUAAGGAAGUGAAGAGCUCGGUUUCUGAAGCAUGAUUGCAAAGUGUUGUGUCAUAGAAUCAAAUCACGGUGGUUUGAUAGCUGCAGCAGGAUGGAUAAAAAAACCUUUGGCUUUUGCUUUUGAACCUCGUCAAUACCUCUGUUGAGGGACUUUUGAGGUCUUGAAAUCACAUCAGCAGCAUAUAGGGAGUUACAUCAGAAGGGUGUAUGGCUGUUCUUAUGUAGGGGAUGUGGCCAAUCAAUUCUGCAGGUGCUGUUUUGGUGUAGGGUAAUCGGUGUAUGGCUGCUCUUAGACAAAGGAUGUGGCCAAUUCUGCAGGUGCUGGCUUCAUGCAGGUUAAUCUGAAGCAGGGGGUUUUCACCAAUUCUGCAGAUGGGAAGGACUCUGUGAUGUGGUCUUUUGGCUUUAAGUUUAGGGUUUAGGCUUUAAUUUAUUUAUUUUUUGAGUCAGUGUAAUUUACAAAAUAUAGAACACAUAGUUACUUAUUAUAAAUAGAAUUCAGAUUUAUAUGAACAAGUUGAAUUUUUUUUACUAAAAAAUGUCAAUUUUAAAGAAUUUAUUUUUUAUUUUUAUAAUUAUAAUAAAAAUUUAUAUAAUAAAUUUAAAUUAUUAAAAAAUCAUUUUAUUUACUUUUUAAAAUUUUGUUGAAACCGUGUUAAAAUUUUCAUAAAUAUAAAAAACAAUGUCUUUUGAAAUGGAGAUUUUAACCACUCGUGUUUUAUAAGUGUUGUGUGUUCACUGUCGGAAACAAGGACACGUAAGAAGAAAACGCCGCCUUAUUAAAAACUGCAGGAGAUCUUAUUUGGGGAAGAUUCCAACCCAACCUUAAAUAUGCAUGACAAGCCAAACGAUUGAGGAGCAACAUAGUUCAAUGUGUAUGGUAAGUGACAAGUGAGAACUACUUAAGCAAGAAGGUGUCACAAAUUGGAACUAUGUUUCUGAAUUGUGUGGGCAUGUGUUGUUCGAAGCCCACAACAAAUACAACUUCAUCUCAGAGACAGUUUCCAACGUUGAUAGAAGAGCUGUGCCAUCAAUUUUCUCUCUCCGAUCUUAGGAAAGCCAUCAAUAACUUUGAUCAGAAGAGAGUAAUAGGAAGUGGAUUUUUUAGUGAAGUAUAUUAAGGGUGUCUGCAGCAUGAUGGUGCUUCUGAUUACACGGUCGCAAUAAAGCGAUUUCAUUAUCAAGGAUGGGAAGCGUUCAACAAGGAAAUCGAAUUGCUAUGCCAGCUUCGUCACCCUAGAUGUGUUUCUCUUAUAGGAUUCUGCAACCACCAAAAUGAGAAGAUUCUUGUAUACGAGUACAUGUCCAAUGGAUCUCUAGAUAAACACCUUCAAGAUGGUGAACUAUCAUGGAAGAAGAGGCUAGAGAUCUGCAUAGGAGUAGCACGUGGACUACACUACCUUCACACUGGUGCCAAGCGUUCCAUCUUUCACUGUAUCCUCGGUCCUAGUACCAUCCUUUUGGAUGACCAAAUGGAGCCAAAACUCGCUGGUUUCGGUGUUAGCAUGCAGGGAUCACGUUUUAUGUCAAAGCAGAAGCAAAUCAAUGUAGAUCGUGUUUUGGGUAAUUUUUGUUUUGUUGUAUGAGCUCACUCACUGCAAUGAAUUUUUGUGGAUCAAACUAAGCUAAUACUCUUUGUUAUAGGUACUUUUGGCUACCCGGCUACGGACUAUGUCAUGGAUGGUACCAUCACAGCUAAAUGGGAUGUUUUCUUAUUUGGUUUGCUUCUACUAAAAGUUGUGUGCAGGAGCAUAUUUUAUUUAAUAACCCUGACUGAAAAAGAAUGUCUGGAGAAUCCUGUUAAGGAGGGAAUUGAUCCGAUUAUCAAAGGAAAGAUUGCACCAGAUUGUUGGCAAGUGUUUGUAGAUGUGAUGGUAACUUGCUUGAAGUAUGACCCAGAUGAGAGACCAACAAUUGGUGAAGUGGAGGUUCAACUUGAGCAUGCAGGAACAAGCUGAUAUUACAAACUCCAACUCUGAGUAUACCUUACUGUCCAAAACCAUUAUUUCCAUGGGAGUGAAACAAUUUCAUACUGAAGAAAUGUAAGUGACCAGAUCACUGAAAUUGAGUUUAGUGUUUUUAGUCAAAACAGUUAGUAAUCUGAAAUUUGUUUAGAAUUUAGAUACUUGUGUAGCUUUUGCAGUGAUACAUGCAUCCAGCAUUUUCUAUUUUUAUGUCAUAGAAUUCAAUAAUAUGUUAUAAUUAUUAAAUGUUAUAAUAUCGAACAUGGGUUGUCAAAAUAGUUUUUUCGUUUUAACAGAGGCUGUCAUCAAUAAUCGUGUAUUAGUAACUAGUAAUGAUAAAAAUUCCUUCCUGUUUGAGACUUUAAACUGUUCUCUGUACUGUCUCUGUGUUAGCCUAGUUGGAAUUACGUGCCAAUAUUUUCCCCUUACACUAACUUUAAGUAUUAAAGUAGAAUAAUUGAAGUGGGGAGAGGAAGAAUAAUUGAAGAGAGAGAUAAUGGGGACAGAGGGAGAGAGAUGUUACAAAUAGUCUUAGAGAGAGAAAAACAAGCUCAAAUUGAUUUUAUGUAUUGAUUUGAUUCUCACAUGCUUGAUCUUUUUUAAGGCAUCUGGUCGAACCAACAUUAUUUACAGCUGAUCUUUUCAAUUUCAAAAAUCUUGAGUGAAAUUUAAUAACUAUAUUAACAACAGAAAAGUCAAUUUGUAACAUGUCCCAGUAGCAUACAUCUUAAACAUGUGUGACCAUUAAAUAAAGUACUUAAACACUUGUCUUUAGUUUUGAUUUUUUUAAUGGAUAAAAUGAUAUGUAUUUAAAAUAUUAACAGUCUUGGAAGUAGAGGUGAAAGAUGCUUCAAUUCAAGUAUGAACCUGAUAAAUGACCAACUAUGAGUGAAGUAGAGGUGGAACUUCAGCAUGAUCUGUAGCAGGAACAAACUAAUUUCACAAACACCAAUGCUGAUGAUUAUAAACCCUAAAAAAAAGCUUAUUGCUCAAAACCAUUAUUCUCCCAAAACUGGGAAUUUAAGCAUCCUCUCCUAUUGCACCAACAGGAUUGUUAUCUGUGAGAUUUCUACUAUUUAUUUCUAACAUUUGGUACCUUCCUUUUGAUUGGCCUUUUGAUGAGAUUCUGUAUAUUCUCCUUACUGUUUUACAUCAGUUUUUUUGUUGCUUAUAACGCCACUAUUGUAUGAAUCUAUACAGUAAGACAAGUUAUGUUAUUUAAGGUUUAAACAUUUUAAGAGUUAGAUGGCUGCUGUUUGACUCAACAUAAGCAUAAAGUAUUUAGUUGAUAAACAAUCGUGAAAUUUAUCUAAUGUUAUUAUAUGUAUCAAGAUGGACUUUCGUUGUUGGAUAAAAAUAAAAGUUUUAACAACUCACUUCCCUAUUCCCACAGAAAAGUAGUUAUUUUCUGUCUGAUUUGCAAACUCUACUUUGCAACAGGUUCAUCUAGUUUCUUCAAGCAGUCAAUAUAUCUGUCUCAACUAUUACUGAAGGGAACUUUGUUUUAGUUAGCUUUAAUUGUAUACUUUAGUUAGCCUUAAUAACAAAGAAGAAAGCAUAUUGUGAUAUGUUUUCCAAAUCUGCACAACAAAACAUAUUUCAUCAUAUGCAUUUGAUUUUUGGUUCACCAGAAUGCCAAGAUUUCACCUUAUACUAAUGUUCGGUCUGAAAAUUAAAAAGUCUGAACAAUAACUAUUUCUGUCAAGAUCCAAUUUAUCAUUUGAUUUAGUCACAUGCACAGAAAUAGGAAGAUUUGAAUAAAAAGAAAACAUGAAAUGAUUGCAGAAAUGGGCUCAGGGAGUUAAGUCAAAGAGAGUUCUAGGCGAUCCCAAAUAAGUUAACGCCCCUACGACACUUUGCAGGGACAACAAGCCAAAAAAUUGUAAUUAAACCAAAGCGAGUGACUACAAAAGGCAAGGGAGUUAACCAAAUCUAAACAAACACUUGUGAACAAAAGUUGUUAUAUAAAUAGAAUGCUUAUUGAAGGUUUAUUAAGAGUAUUUAGUAGUGUAUACAUUUGACUUUUGUAUUUGUAACCUACAUAGAGUUCUAAUAAUUAUUUUUAGUCUAUAAAAUAUCUUUGAACUUGGCAUCAAAAAGCUGCAAAACUUACAUUCAAAACCACAUUUUCACUUUGCCAUUCAUUUAACAUCUCCAACAUUUGUUAAAUGUUGGAGAUCAGUGUGAUCAGUGAUCAUUUGUAUAAUAUUAUACAAAUGGGUGAAGUAGAGGUGCUACUUGAGCAUGCCCUUGCAUUGCAGAAACAAGCAGAUAUCACAAACACCAAUACUGAUGAUUAUACUUUACUGUCCAAAACCAUUAUUCCCCAUCCUGCAACUAAAAUAUAGGUUUGUGUUUUGAAUCAAAAUAGUCAGAGUAAGCUUUUGCAGUGACUUUUAAUUUGAGAUACUUGUACCUUUUAUUGUGAUAUCACUUUCUAGCAUUUUAGUUUUACCAGAGACUGUCAUAGAAUCGUUGCAAUGAUCCUCUACUGGUGUAAAAUUGAAAGAAAUGCAGGAAAUUUAAUAAGAACAGAGUAAUGAUAAAACUCCCCUGAUGGAGUCUAUAUGAUUUGCUCUUCCUCUUGUAGAUGCCCUCACUUCCAAACUAACCACUGAUACAUGCAACACAAUCAUAUAGAUGAACUAUGCUACUAAAGAUUUAAUAAAACAUUUGGAGGGUUAGAUGAGUGGGAUGAGAUUCAACCUCAACACAAAAAUUAUUUAUUUGAUAAACCCAUCAUCAAUCUUAUCUAAUAUUGUUAAAAGCUAAAUUUUAAAAGCUCAUCCCCCCUGCCCUGCGAAAUGUGAUUAUGUUGGAACUGGAGACAAUCACAGAAGACAGUGAUAUUGAAGAAGUGGAACUGGAAAUCAUCACAGAAGACAGUGAUAGUGAAGAAAUGUAACGAAUUCACACCUAAUUUAAGCUGAAAUUAAGUUUAGUGUUUUUGAAUCAAAACAGUGACAUCUGCAGAGAUCAAGUUUAAUUGAGAUACCUGUACCUUUUAUUGUGAUCUCUGUUUCUAACAUUAUCAUCUUACCGGAAGCUGUCAUGGCAAUAAUCUGGUACUAGUAUAAAUUUGAAAGAAUUGCCAACAAAAUCAAUAAUGAUAGCACUCCCUUGCUUCAGUCUGUAAUUUUUGCUCUUCUUUUUCUAGGAACCCUCACCACAUAACCAGUCACUGAUAUAUAAAGCAAAAUCAUACAGAUUGCAGCAGAGUGUAGGGAACUCUCUAUAGAUACCAUGAUAAAUUGCUUUUAAGUACGGAUCGGAUAAGCCACCAACAGUAUGUCAAGUAGAGGUGCAACUUGACCAAUUGUGAUUAUACUUUAUUGUCCAUAACCGUUACCUGAAAAAGUGUACAACUGGGUACAAUGAAGGGGUAAAAACGGCAAUCAAAGAAAUAGUAUUUUGACUGAUACCUUUAAUUUUUCCCUUGCCAUUAUUAGAGUAGAUGAAUCUACCAAACCAUAUCUAGGACCAUAUUGGAUGAAUUUCUGUAUAAAUAUUUCUAGAAAAAAAAAAUCUUUGAACUAGCAGUAGUUUUUUCACAUCUUGACUAAGUCAGAGUUUUAUAUGCAGGCCUUGGAUCUUAUUUGGGGAAGAUUCCAACCCAACCUUAAUAUGCUUCACAAGCCAAACAAUUGAGGAGCAACAUAGUUCAAUGUGUAUGGUAAGUGACAAGUGAGAUCUACUUAAGCAAGCAAGGUGUCACAAAUUGGAACUAUGUUUCUGAAUUGUUUGGGCAUGUGUUGUUCGAAGCCCACAACAAAUACAACUUCAUCUCAGAGACAGUUUCCAACGUUGAUAGAAGAGCUGUGCCAUCAAUUUUCUCUCACCGAUCUUAGGAAAGCCACCAAUAACUUUGAUCAGAAGAGAGUAAUAGGAAGUGGAAUAUUUAGUGAAGUAUACAAAGGGUGUCUGCAGCAUGAUGGUGCUUCUGAUUACCCGGUCGCAAUAAAGCGAUUUCAUUAUCAAGGAUGGGAAGCGUUCAACAAGGAAAUCGAAUUGCUAUGCCAGCUUCGUCACCCUAGAUGUGUUUCUCUUAUAGGAUUCUGCAACCACCAAAAUGAGAAGAUUCUUGUAUACGAGUACAUGUCCAAUGGAUCUCUAGAUAAACACCUACAUGAUGGUGAACUAUCAUGGAAGAAGAGGCUAGAGAUCUGCAUAGGAGUAGCACGUGGACUACACUACCUUCACACUGGUGCCAAGCGUUCCAUCUUUCACUGUAUCCUCGGUCCUAGUACCAUCCUUUUGGAUGACCACAUGGAGCCAAAACUCGCUGGUUUCGGUGUUAGCGUGCAGGGAUCACGUUUUAUGUCAAAGCAGAAGCAAAUCAAUGU
rnacentral:lncRNA from 1 species